UGCACUAUUUGACGUUACCUACAGAAGAAGCACCGGCUAACUCCGUGCCAGCAGCCGCGGUAAUACGGAGGGUGCGAGCGUUAAUCGGAAUUACUGGGCGUAAAGCGCAUGCAGGCGGCCUGUUAAGUCAGAUGUGAAAGCCCCGGGGCUUAACCUCGGAAUUGCAUUUGAAACUGGCAGGCUAGAGUCUUGUAGAGGGGGUAGGAAUUUCAGGUGUAGCGGUGAAAUGCGUAGAGAUCUGAAGGAAUACCAGUGGCGAAGGCGGCCCCCUCGGACAAAGAACUGACGCUCAGAUGCGAAAGCGUGGGGAGGCAAACAGGAUUAGAUACCCUGGUAG
rnacentral:rRNA from 1 species